rnacentral:tRNA from 1 species
GCGGAUGUGGCGGAAUGGCAGACGCGCACGUUUGAGGGGCGUGUGGGAGACCAUACGGGUUCAAGUCCCGUCAUCCGCACCA